CCUACGGGGGGCAGCAGUGGGGAAUAUUGCGCAAUGGGCGAAAGCCUGACGCAGCGACGCCGCGUGAGGGAUGAAGGUCUUCGGAUCGUAAACCUCUGUCAGCAGGGAAGAACGGUCACUGUGCUAAUCAGCAGUGAAUUGACGGUACCUGCAAAGGAAGCACCGGCUAACUCCGUGCCAGCAGCCGCGGUAAUACGGAGGGUGCGAGCGUUAAUCGGAAUUACUGGGCGUAAAGCGCUCGUAGGCGGUAUGUCAAGUCAAGGGUGAAAUCCCCGCGCGCAACGUGGGAACUGCCUUUGAAACUGGCAAACUGGAGUGUGUGAGAGGAUAGUGGAAUUCCAGGUGUAGGAGUGAAAUGCGUAGAUAUCUGGAGGAACAUCAGUGGCGAAGGCGACUAUCUGGCACAUAACUGACGCUGAGGAGCGAAAGCGUGGGUAGCAAACAGGAUUAGAUACCCGUGUAGUC
rnacentral:rRNA from 1 species